rnacentral:rRNA from 1 species
GGAGUCGGACCUGCCCAGUGAAGUUUUUUAACGGCCGCGGUACUCUGACCGUGCAAAGGUAGCACAAUCAUUUGCCUUAUAAUUGAAGGCUAGUAUGAAUGGUUUGACAAGAAUAUAGCUGUCUCUUUAUGGCUAUUUAGAAUUUUAUUUAUAGGUGAAGAAGCCUAUAUUUCAUUAAUAGACGAGAAGACCCUAUCGAGCUUCAAAUAAAUUAAUAGAUAUAAAUCAAUUAAAUAAUAAUUAAAAUAAAAACUAUUAAAUAUUCAUAGUUAGUUGGGGCGACUGAGGAACAAUAAAAGCUUCCUUUGCAUUUUAAUAGACUAUACUAGUUUUAAUCCAAAAACUUUUUGAUCAAAGAAAUUAGCUACCGUAGGGAUAACAGCAUAAUCCCUUUUGAGAGCUCCUAUCGAAAAGGGGGUUUGUGACCUCGAUGUUGGACUAGAAUAUCCCAAAGAUGCAGCAGUCUUUAAAGG